CAGUCGCCGCGGUAAUACGUAGGGUGCAAGCGUUAAUCGGAAUUACUGGGUGUAAAGCGUGCGCAGGCGGUUUGUUAAGACAGAUGUGAAAUCCCCGGGCUUAACCUGGGAACUGCAUUUGUGACUGGCAAGCUAGAGUCUGGCAGAGGGGGGUGGAAUUCCGCGUGCAGCAGUGAAAUACGUAGAUAUGCGGAGGAACACCGAUGGCGAAGGCAGCCCCCUGGGCCAACACUGACGCUCAUGCACGAAAGCGUGGGGAGCAAACAGGAUUAGAUACCCCGGUAGUCCCUGUCUCUUAUAC
rnacentral:rRNA from 1 species